rnacentral:siRNA from 1 species
GACAAAUUGGUGCUUGCUCAACA